GCACCACAAGAGCGUGGAGUAUGUGGCUUAAUUUGACUCAACGCGGAAAAGCUUAUCUGGUCCGGACGCAGUGAGGAUUGACAGACAGUUUCAGGAGUGGUUCUUGGUAAACAAUUGAGAGAGUUGAAGUUCUUUCAUGAUCUUGUGAGAGGUGGUGCAUGGCCGUUCUUAGUUCGUGUAGUGAUAUGUCUGCCUAAUCGCGUCACGAUAACCUAUUGGUCGACAACCCAAUUAUCACAACUGCAGCAUAACUCCCCUUGGGUGGGCGAGGCUCUGUGUAGGAUAGACCUCUGAACAGUACGCAACGAACGCGAUCGUAAUCCCUUGUUGAGUGGCCAUCCUGUAAGCUGCUGGAUUAGGAACCCAGUGGUAUUAUCUCAGCCACAGAUUUUCUGGUUGUAAUGGGCCAUUUUGAAACUCGGGGAACAUCUGUGACUUUCUUUCUUAACGCAGAGGAAGGUUAUGGCAAUAAC
rnacentral:rRNA from 1 species